GACGAACGCUGGCGGCGUGCUUAACACAUGCAAGUCGAGCGGUAAGGCCCUUUCGGGGGUACACGAGCGGCGAACGGGUGAGUAACACGUGGGUGACCUGCCCUCAGCUCUGGGAUAAGCCCGGGAAACUGGGUCUAAUACCGGAUAUGACUCCAUGACGCAUGUUGUGGGGUGGAAAGCCUUGUGCGGCUGAGGAUGGGCCCGCGGCCUAUCAGCUUGUUGGUGGGGUGAUGGCCACCAAGGCGACGACGGGUAGCCGGCCUGAGAGGGCGGACCGGCCACACUGGGACUGAGAUACGGCCCAGACUCCUACGGGAGGCAGCAGUGGGGAAUCUUGCGCAAUGGGCGAAAGCCUGACGCAGCGACGCCGCGUGAGGGAUGACGGCC
rnacentral:rRNA from 1 species